CAANCAGGAUUAGAUACCCUGGUAGUNCACGCCCUAAACGAUGUCGAUUAGCUGUUGGGCAACUUGAUUGCUUAGUAGCGUAGCUAACGCGUGAAAUCGACCGCCUGGGGAGUACGGUCGCAAGAUUAAAACUCAAAGGAAUUGACGGGGACCCGCACAAGCGGUGGAUGAUGUGGAUUAAUUCGAUGCAACGCGAAGAACCUUACCUGGUCUUGACAUGUACGGAAGAACUCAGAGACGAGUUUGUGCCCUCGGGAACCGUAACACAGGUGCUGCAUGGCUGUCGUCAGCUCGUGUCGUGAGAUGUUGGGUUAAGUCCCGCAACGAGCGCAACCCUUGUCAUUAGUUGCCAUCAUUUAGUUGGGCACUCUAAUGAGACUGCCGGUGACAAACCGGAGGAAGGUGGGGAUGACGUCAAGUCCUCAUGGCCCUUAUGACCAGGGCUUCACACGUCAUACAAUGGUCGGUACAGAGGGUAGCCAAGCCGCGAGGUGGAGCCAAUCCCAGAAAACCGAUCGUAGUCCGGAUUGCACUCUGCAACUCGAGUGCAUGAAGUCGGAAUCGCUAGUAAUCGCAGGUCAGCAUACUGCGGUGAAUACGUUCCCGGGUCUUGUACACACCGCCCGUCACACCAUGGGAGUGGGGGAUACCAGAAGCAG
rnacentral:rRNA from 1 species